rnacentral:lncRNA from 1 species
GUUCACCUUCAACUCAGGAUUAAACCACAACAGUGACAACAUUAACACCACGAGUGGAGGCGUAUGAAAAUCACUACAGCACAAAGAGCAGACGGUCCAGUCCAGAAGAGGGAGGCAGCCUGAGCUCUGUGGCCUACGAGCUGGAACACUGGACUGGCGUGAGGCCUAAUGCUGAUUCUGCCUAAUGCCUUUAGUCACUUUGACGAGGAGGAAACGGACGGAGCACAGUGUUAAAGAGGAACAGUCUGUGAAACCUUCUGCCAAAGAAAAGAAUGCCACUGCUGGACAUUAACCGUGAGGCAACGCCACCCG